rnacentral:misc_RNA from 1 species
GAUGAAGAACGCAGCGAAAUGCGAUAAGUAAUGUGAAUUGCAGAAUUCAGUGAAUCAUCGAAUCUUUGAACGCACCUUGCGCUCUUUGGUAUUCCGAAGAGCAUGCCUGUUUGAGUGUCAUGAAAAUAUCAACCUUGACUUGGGUUUUGUGCUCUAGUCUCGGCUUGGAAUUGGGUGCUUGCCGCUUUUACGAGCGGCUCACCUUAAAUGUAUUAGCUGGAUCUGUCUUUGAGACUUGGUUUGACUUGGCGUAAUCAGUAUUUCGCUAAGGACAUUCUUCGGAGUGGCCUCGUUUCUAGGACGCUUGUCCGCUUUCCAAUACAAGUUCCACCUCGUGGACAUGACUUUUUAUUAUCUGGCCUCAAAUCAGGUAGGACUACCCGCUGAACUUAAGCAUAUCAAUAAGCGGAGGA